UGGAAGAGCAACAUCUAUGCAGCGAGCGGAGGACGGGUUCUUUUUCGGCAGCCGACAGAUUACGGCAGUGGUCUCCAGCAGGGAACGACAAUGGUUGGACAGGAGGUGGGAACCACGUCGGCUUAAGCGUUUCAGUUCUCACAAUUUGGCGCCAAACUUUUGGAGCCGACCUGUCAAGCCGUCCAGGGAACACGAGUAGAUGAGGAAUCCCAGCUCCCUCGACAGUAUCGUGGACGAACCUGCGGCACAUGACCUACUACAGCAGAUGACUUCACUAAGUAAGCCACUGCCGCGACAGCACCUCCUCGGACGUCCCGCUGCGCAUGAACUUGACGGUACCGACGCUUUCCAGCCACAGCGACCCCCAGGUCAGAAGACAUCCUCAUCGACUUGGACGGUUGCCAUACGGCCGUCCGGUCACCGACGAGACAGUCCUACACAGACCCGGCCGCAGCUGCUGACUGUCUGCCCUUGGUGACAUAUCUUGCACUUGUGAGCCCUUUGAAAAGGUGGGAGAGAGUAUGGCGAUAGCAAGGUGUUAUCGCUGAUGCCCCUCCCCCUACACGUGCAAUUUUCCUUUCUACUGCGAGGGAACCUGAAGCGAUGCGUCUUGACUGCAGGUAGCAGCUGACGGAUUAAAACUCAGUGGCCUUCUGCAGGGAACGGCGGUGUAUGCGAAUAAACGUGCUGUUGGUUAA